rnacentral:rRNA from 1 species
ACGCUGGCGGCGUGCUUAACACAUGCAAGUCGAACGGUCCAUUCUGGUUCGCUGGAAUGGAUAGUGGCGGACGGGCGAGUAACGCGUGGGUAACCUACCCAUAAAACUGGGACAACUCUGGGAAACUGGAGCUAAUACCGGAUACGCUCACUAGGUGGCAUCACCUGGUGAGGAAAGGUGGCCUCUGAAAAUGCUGCCGAUUAUGGAUGGACCCGCGUCUGAUUAGCUAGUUGGUGGGGUAACGGCCUACCAAGGCGACGAUCAGUAGCCGGCCUGAGAGGGUGGCCGGCCACACUGGGACUGAGACACGGCCCAGACUCCUACGGGAGGCAGCAGUGGGGAAUAUUGCGCAAUGGGCGAAAGCCUGACGCAGCAACGCCGCGUGGGUGAAGAAGGCCUUCGGGUUGUAAAGCCCUGUCUUUUUGGACGAAGUGCUUUUGGGUGAACAGCCCAAGAGAGUGACGGUACAAGAGGAGGAAGCCCCGGCUAACUACGUG